GAGAGCAAAAAUGAAGAAAGAGUGAAAAAAAAGUUCAGAUGGCAGUACUGUUAUACUCGCUGAUUUCGCGCAUGCGUACUCCAUUUUAUGUUACACAAACAUCAAAGGUGCCGACAGAGAGUUGUGCUAUUGUAUAUACUGUGAUAUUACUUCUAUAACAACUGUGGAACGCUAGCGAAUUUUAAGCAACACUUACUGUAAACGCAUUUUAAUUAAGCGAAGAACUGUAGUGACAUUGGUGCAACUGAACUUAAGACGUUUCAAUAAAUAGAAUCUUAUAUAAUACAAAUUUAAACAAUUAAAAAAUGCGUAAAAAGAUUUAAAACCUAGAACAUUAGGUUUGUUCUUCUUGCUUACACUUCGUACACUAUCGUGUAAAGUGUACACUUUGGCGUUCUUCUUGUCGGAAAUGACGUAGAGUUGUGCGAUUACACUGGAUUACACGCUGUUCGUCUUGAAAAGUGGAUCACACUUUUAUGACGAAUUUUACACUGGUUUACACGAGCCUGAGAGGUGGUGUACGCAGUGUAAAGUUACACUAAGAGGUUAUAGUUUUCCACGAUUGCUUCCUAAUUUUAUUUUUUACAAUGGAAGAAGUCGUAUAAGUGCCUAAAACGGCAAUAGUAUUUCGAAAUGCCGAUGAAUCAAUAAUUAUUGAUGAAGAAGGUUACAUAACAUGCCAAACCGACAGUGGGCUAACUUUUAAAAUACACACUUCCGAAAUAGAUUUGAAUGGUCCACCCAUUACAUGUACUUUGGAUAACGAAAAAGUUUUAAUAGUAUUAACAUCUACACACAGAACAAUAGACACACCGGACACUAACAUUUCCAAUCAAGAAAAUCAGAAGCCAAACGUCAUUCAACACAAUUUUGAAAUUUUUACAUGAAAUGAUGCGAAUACCAAACUAUUUUUAUCACUCUACAAGGAGAAGAAAGAAUUAGUUAGUUCUAGAAGAAUUAAAAAUUUUAAAGAAAUGUGGAAGCGUAUAAGCGACGAGAUGAGAAACUCGGGAUACGACGUGACUCCUAUACAAGUGGAAAAUAAAUGGAAGACUUUAGAAAGACAAUAUAAAAAAGUUAUUUCCAAUAAUAAUAAGACAGGAAGAGGGCGGAUUACCUGUAGUUACCAAACGUUUACGUAUAGCUAAAAUUGAAAUAAUAAUAAAUCAUAAUAAAUUGAUGCUUUAUUUUUACUUACAUGCUUUUACAGGGAACUGACAGAAAUUUUGGGAAAGAGCCACAAAAUAGUUCCACUUGCUGUGGCGGGUCCGGAAAUAAGAGUAAUGGUCCGAAAUAGUAUAUCAGAUCUCAGGACUUUAUUGAAUAACAGUGCGCCGAUUUUAAUGCCAGUAUCGACAACAAUUGUAUUACCAACCACAUCAAACGUAGAAAA